AUACGUAGGGGGCGAGCGUUGUCCGGAAUGACUGGGCGUAAAGGGCGUGUAGGCGGUUGAAUAAGUCUGGAGUGAAAGUCCCGGUUUCAAGGUGGGAAUUGCUUUGGAGACUGGUUGGCUUGAGUGCGGAAGAGGUAAGUGGAAUUCCCAGUGUAGCGGUGAAAUGCGUAGAGAUUGGGAGGAACACCAGUGGCGAAGGCGACUUACUGGGCCGUAACUGACGCUGAGGCGCGAAAGCGUGGGGAGCGAACAGGAUUAGAUGCCCUGGUAGUCCACGCUGUAAACGAUGAAUGCUAGGUGUAGGGGGUAUCGACCCCUCCUGUGCCGGAGUAAACGCAAUAAGCAUUCCGCCUGGGGAGUACGGCCGCAAGGUUGAAACUCAAAUGAAUUGACGGGG
rnacentral:rRNA from 1 species